AGUAACACGUGGAUAACCUACCUAUAAGACUGGGAUAACUUCGGGAAACCGGAGCUAAUACAGGAUAAUAUUUUGAACCGCAUGGUUCAAAAGUGAAAGACGGUCUUGCUGUCACUUAUAGAUGGAUCCGCGCUGCAUUAGCUAGUUGGUAAGGUAACGGCUUACAAAGGCAACGAUGCAUAGCCGACCUGAGAGGGUGAUCGGCCACACUGGAACUGAGACACGGUACAG
rnacentral:rRNA from 1 species